GCGCCCGUAGCUCAACAGGAUAGAGCGUCGGACUUCGGAUCCGAUGGUUGCGGGUUCAAGUCCUGCCGGGCGCGCCA
rnacentral:tRNA from 2 species